rnacentral:rRNA from 1 species
UACGUAGGGGGCAAGCGUUGUCCGGAUUUAUUGGGCGUAAAGAGCGCGUAGGCGGUGACCUAAGUCGAGUGUUAAAGGUAUGGGCUCAACUCAUACAUCGCGCUCGAUACUGGGUUGCUAGAGUAAGACAGAGGAAAGCGGAACUUCCGGUGUAGCGGUGAAAUGCGUAGAUAUCGGAAGGAACACCAGUGGCGAAGGCGGCUUUCUGGGUCUUUUCUGACGCUGAGGCGCGAAAGCUAGGGGAGCAAACGGGAUUAGAUACCCCUGUA